UACAGAGGUCCCAAGCGUUGUUCGGAUUCACUGGGCGUAAAGGGUGCGUAGGUGGUUAGGUAAGUCCGAUGUGAAAUCUCCAGGCUCAACCUGGAAAUGGCAUUGGAUACUAUCUAGCUUGAGGAGUGGAGGGGGGACUGGAAUUCUCGGUGUAGCAGUGAAAUGCGUAGAUAUCGAGAGGAACACCAGUGGCGAAGGCGAGUCCCUGGACACUUCCUGACACUGAGGCACGAAAGCUAGGGGAGCAAAC
rnacentral:rRNA from 1 species